CCUACGGGAGGCAGCAGUGAGGAAUUUUCCGCAAUGGGCGAAAGCCUGACGGAGCAAUACCGCGUGAGGGAUGAAGGAUUUUGGUCUGUAAACCUCUUUUCUCAAGAAAGAAGUUCUGACGGUACUUGAGGAAUAAGCAUCGGCUAACUCCGUGCCAGCAGCCGCGGUAAUACGGGGGAUGCAAGCGUUAUCCGGAAUGAUUGGGCGUAAAGCGCCUGUAGGUUGUUUAUUAAGUCCGUUGUUAAAGCCUAGGGCUCAACCCUAGAAAAGCAAUGGAAACUAGUAGACUAGAGUAUGGCAGGGGUAGAGGGAAUUUCUAGUGUAGCGGUGAAAUGCGUAGAUAUUAGAAAGAACACCGGUGGCGAAAGCGCUCUACUGGACCAUUACUGACACUCAGAGGCGAAAGCUAGGGUAGCAAAAGGGAUUAGAUACCCCUGUAGUCCUAGCCGUAAACGAUGGAUACUAGAUGUUGUGCAUUAUGUACAGUAUCGUAGCUAACGCGUUAAGUAUCCCGCCUGGGGAGUACGCUCGCAAGGGGUGAAACUCAAAGAGUAAGUACGGCGUGNGAGNGCGACGACGACGACGACGGAGGAGG
rnacentral:rRNA from 1 species